GUCUCAAAGAUUAAGCCAUGCAUGUCNAAGUAUAAGCAAUCUAUACGGUGAAACUGCGAAUGGCUCAUUAAAUCAGUUAUCGUUUAUUUGAUAGUACCUUACUACAUGGAUAACCGUGGUAAUUCUAGAGCUAAUACAUGCUAAAAACCCCGACUUCGGAAGGGGUGUAUUUAUUAGAUAAAAAACCAGCGCCCUUCGGGGCUCCUUGGUGAUUCAUGAUAACUCAACGAAUCGCAUGGCCUUGCGCCGGCGAUGGUUCAUUCAAAUUUCUGCCCUAUCAACUUUCGAUGGUAGGAUAGUGGCCUACCAUGGUAUCAACGGGUAACGGGGAAUUAGGGUUCUAUUCCGGAGAGGGAGCCUGAGAAACGGCUACCACAUCCAAGGAAGGCAGCAGGCGCGCAAAUUACCCAAUCCCGACACGGGGAGGUAGUGACAAUAAAUACUGAUACAGGGCUCUUUUGGGUCUUGUAAUUGGAAUGAGUACAAUUUAAAUCCCUUAACGAGGAACAAUUGGAGGGCAAGUCUGGUGCCAGCAGCCGCGGUAAUUCCAGCUCCAAUAGCGUAUAUUAAAGUUGUUGCAGUUAAAAAGCUCGUAGUUGAACCUUGGGCCUGGCUGGCCGGUCCGCCUCACCGCGUGUACUGGUCCGGCCGGGCCUUUCCUUCUGGGGAGCCGCAUGCCCUUCACUGGGCGUGCCGGGGAACCAGGACUUUUACUUUGAAAAAAUUAGAGUGUUCAAAGCAGGCCUUUGCUCGAAUACAUU
rnacentral:rRNA from 1 species